UACGUAGGGGGCAAGCGUUGUCCGGAAUCAUUGGGCGUAAAGAGCGUGUAGGCGGCCUGGUAAGUCCGCUGUGAAAGUCCAGGGCUCAACCCUGGAAUGCCGGUGGAAACUGUCAGGCUCGAGUCCGGAAGAGGCGAGUGGAAUUCCUGGUGUAGCGGUGAAAUGCGCAGAUAUCAGGAAGAACACCCGUGGCGAAGGCGGUUCUCUGGGACGGUACUGACGCUGAGACGCGAAAGCGUGGGGAGCGAACAGG
rnacentral:rRNA from 1 species